AAUUAUACUGAUAGUUUUUUUUUCCUUUUUUUUUUGAGAAAAAGAUAGCAAGUUAUCUGAUUCAUUCAUUAAAUAAAAUAAACUGAGAGUAUAUAAUGAAAGCAGCUUAGGCCUUCGAAAAAAAUAUGCAAAGAAGGGUUAGGAAAAAAAAAAGCGAGAUAGUAAAGAAAGAGGGGGCGAGGGGAAGGCGGACUAUCGUCUUCUUACAGCAGCGCAGCCUAGUUCCUUGUCAGGAGGUUGACACGUUCUAGUGACCGGUUAGCGUACGUUGACCGAAAUUUUCUGAAAAACGGAGUUGUUUCUAUCCCUCUAGACCAACCAUCAUAUUGCUGCCAUAAGGGUUAGGCCUUUAGAUCUCAUCAGUUCAACAGAAAUGUCGGAGAUUCUAUCCCAGAGAUUUCGAACGUCGCACA
rnacentral:lncRNA from 1 species